rnacentral:rRNA from 1 species
AGAGUUGAUCAUGGCUCAGGACGAACGCUGGCGGCGUGCCUAACACAUGCAAGUCGAACGGACGAGAGGAGCUUGCUCCUCAAGUUAGUGGCGGACGGGUGAGUAACACGUGAGCAACCUGCCCUUCGGAGGGGGACAACAGCUGGAAACGGCUGCUAAUACCGCAUGACACAGCGGGGAGGCAUCUCCCUGCUGUCAAAGAUUUUAUCGCCGAAGGAUGGGCUCGCGUCUGAUUAGAUAGUUGGUGAGGUAACGGCCCACCAAGUCAACGAUCAGUAGCCGGACUGAGAGGUUGAACGGCCACAUUGGGACUGAGAUACGGCCCAGACUCCUACGGGAGGCAGCAGUGGGGAAUAUUGGGCAAUGGGGGGCAACCCUGACCCAGCAACGCCGCGUGAAGGAAGAAGGCUUUCGGGUUGUAAACUUCUUUGACGAGGGACGAUAGUGACGGUACCUCGAAAACAAGCCACGGCUAACUACGUGCCAGCCGCCGC